UUUUCAGUGUAAGUGUGUCUUAUGCAAUAUUUGGGACAUACUUGUACUAAAA
rnacentral:pre_miRNA from 1 species